rnacentral:rRNA from 1 species
AGUGAACGCUAGUGAUAUGCUUAACACAUGCGAGUUUUAAUUAAUGUUUUUAACAUUAAUAGCGUACGGGUGAGUAAUACAUAAGAAUUUACUUUAUAUUUUGGAAAUUAAACUCCAAUAAAAUUAAAAUUGCUGUAUAAGUCAUUUUAAUUUGAAAAUUUAAAUUGGUAUAAAAAUUUGCUUAUGGAGAAUUAGAUAGUUGGUAAGGUAAUGGCUUACCAAGUCUAUAAUUCUUAGCUGGUCUUAGCGGAUGAUCAGCCACAUUGGGACUGAAACAUGGCCCAAGCUCUUUUUUGAGGCAGGCAGUGAGGAAUAUUGGACAAUGAACGAAAGUUUGAUCCAGCAAUAUCACGUGAAUGAUGAAGGUUUAUUCUAUCGUAAAGUUCUUUCGACGAGGAGGAUAAUGACGUUACUCGUAAAAGAAGUCCCGACUAACCUCGUGCCAGCAGCCGCGGUAAGGUGCGCGAGU